UUCAUGGGAGAGAGAGCCUGAUGCAUUUCAUGAUUUGCUGGAAAGACAUGACUCCUGUGAUGCCCGUUAUUGUAGAUGUCCUUAUGGCAGGAAGUAUGAUGCUGAAUUUGGUAAAUAUGACCUGCUACUUUGUGGUUGCUGUGGAUCAGCUGGGUCACACCGUGCAUGUAAUGGCCUCUUUCCAAAGGACAAUCUCUUUGUUUGUAAAGACUGUUUAGAAAUUUUGAACACAGUUAAUUCAAAUACCCAACAGUGUGAUACCACAAAGGAUCAAGAUGCUCUCCACCUCAGCUGCAGUUCAACCCAGGAGAAGACUACUGCUGGACGGGCCACUUCUCGCAGUCGAAAGAGGGCACACCCUGCUGAUGAGGUUUCAGGCAGCAGUUGUUAUUCUCAGGUGCGGUUGAGAUCUGGCCAACACUAAACAUUUCUAAACAAAUUGGCAUACCAGCAUGUUUCAAGGGCAAGUCUUCAAGAUGUAGCCCUCCUAAAAAUUCUUGUGUUUUUGUUUCUGGUGAAAUGCUUUAUGAACUUAAAAAAAUCAAGUCAUGUCCUUUCUGCUGUUUUGUGCUAUUAAGGGUUGAUCAAGAGCACUGCAUAUCGCAUAGAGAAAAAAAUAUAGAAACUAUUAGACCACCAUCACCAAAAAAAGUCAAAUUGAAGACACAUUCUGUACAAGAUUUAGAUAGGUGUUGUUUACCCCCACCUCCUUUGAUUUACAUGGGGGAUUUGAACCAAGCUGCAGACAACAUAAUAGAAGAACCACCUACAUUGAUGGCUCAAAACAUCUCAUAGAAUGGUCUCUCAUUUUAUAAGAUGGGCAAAUCAGACAGAUAAUGGAGUUAAUCUUUGGGCUUGAGUUACUUCUUCCUUGUGUCUGUGUUGCUGUUUUUUCAUCUAGAUAUUGGUUCCCUUCAUUUUGUUGAGGUAUGGACAUUAUAUGCUCAGAAUGUGUCGUGUUUGAGGUACUACAGUGAUGUAGGCCAAACCAUUCAUGCUCAGAUGAAUACUUCUGAAGUAACACUAAUUCCUCCCCUUCCUCUGACCCAUAUUCUAAGCAUCUAGUCCUAUCCUACUGUUUAAAUGUACACAAUACACUUGACUUUUCCUGUUUCACAUUGUUGUUUUUUUAGAUUGAAAGCUAAUUAUAAAUUAUAUAGGUACCGGUACAAGGCAUACGCUUUAAAAGUUUUACAGGGACUGAAUUAUUGUUCAACUUACGUCUGUUUGCACAUGUUUUUUAAAGUAAUUUAACUAUCUUUUUGCAAAACAUUUUUUUUUCUAAAUUUUUUAAUUUUAAAUAACAUUCUUAUUCCUUAAGAUUUUAUUCAGAUAAAAAAUAGAGGUAAACUCAUAUUGUGUAGAUUUUAUGAAUAUUGUAAUUUGAAUAGGAAAAAAAAUGUGUAUGUUGUUUAUUUGUUUUGCUACCGGUAUGUGUUUUUUUUUGUUUUUUGGGCCUUUGUUUGCUGCCAUAAAUUAAACAUUUUUAAUGUGUAUGGGCGAAUGUUAUACACUAACUCUUAUUAUAUAUUUAUUUAUAUAUUGGCUGAUUGUACAAAGCUUUGCAUAGCAAGCAAAAUUGCUGAUAGUUAAUGGCACAAAUAGUUUAUCCUGACUGAAUGUGGUGGUUUAUUUAUUUAUUUUUUUUAAGUGAUAAAAUUAGUAGGAAAGGAAAGAAUUUA
rnacentral:sRNA from 1 species